UACGAAGGGGCUAGCGUUGCUCGGAAUCACUGGGCGUAAAGAGCUCGUAGGCGGUUUGUCGCGUCGGCUGUGAAAACCUGGGGCUCAACCCCGGGCCUGCAGCCGAUACGGGCAGGCUAGAGUGUGGGUAGGGGAGAUGAAUUCCUGGUGUAGCGGUGAAAUGCGCAGAUAUCAGGAGGAACACCGGUGGCGAAGGCGGAUCUCUGGGCCAUUACUGACGUGAGGAGCGAAAAGCGUGGGGGAG
rnacentral:rRNA from 1 species